rnacentral:rRNA from 1 species
UCUUGGCCAUAAACUAAUGUGAUUUACCAGAGUACUAUGAAUAGCAAAAUUUAAAACUCAAAGGGCUUGGCGGUGUUUUAGACCUCUCAGGGGAACCUGUCUCGUAAUCGACAAUCCACGUUAGACCUAACCUUUUUUUGUACUUCAGUUUGUAUACCGUCGUCGUCAGGUAACUUCCAAAAAGUUAGAAGUUAGCAAACAAAAUAAUUUAGAUUUAAACGUCAGAUCAAGGUGCAGCUAACAAAAGGGUGAGGAUGGGUUACAAUUAUUUCACUUAUAACAACGGAUACAUAAAUGAAAUUUUUUGUUGAAGGAGGACUUGAAAGUAAAGUAUGAUAUAAGAAUCAUUUGAAUAUGGCUCUGAAACGUGC